GACCAGGAGUCGACGUGUACCGAAGUCCUGCUAGUCUGGUCCUUGUUCGCGUCUGGGUAUCACCUUUUCUUUAGCAGGCAAACCGCAGAGCCUGAGGGCAGUGGAAAGAGGAGUUAACUUGACGGAAUUCUGCAGGUCUGUUAUUCUUAGCACUACACAAGGCUAGAAGAGGCAAGGAAGAAACUGUUCGGAUCAGUACAGAUGAAGCAGGCACUAGACUCUCCUUUGCUGAUGACCAGGCUGUCCUGGAUAUACUUACCUGGAGGAUGACAAAAGUCCCUAUAGCAGGCAAAAUCUCUGCACCUGGACUCUGGAUCUGGGAGUGAGGACAAUGGCAUUCUUCUUUCAGAAUGACACUUCUGCUUUAGGAGCUAAUGUCUCAGUGGAGAUAGAAAGGAAAUAGCAGCCUGAGGUUCUCUCAGCAGCCUGAGGCUUACUUUUCAUAGUGUGAAACCAUACCUUGAGCCAAGCCAAAAGCAAAUAGGGCACCUGUAUUCUCAAUCGUGUCACACCCACGGGACAACCCCCAUUCCAUCAGUGAGGGCUGGUUGGAAGGAGAGAGCACUCCCCUCUCAACUGCACUCACCUGGAGAUUCUCACAGUGAACACUCUAGAAUAUCCCCUUUUUAUAAUUUUCACCAGUUUCACUGGAGAGUAGGUCAACAGAGCUCUUCAUGCUGUCAUGCCAGAAACUGACCUUCUACACAUUGCUUCUUCCUGGAAAACUUCCCUGGGAACUGGAUUAAGUCCUCAUACUCAGGGCUCCAACUGCCCCUUCAGUACUUACUACACUCUUCCUCUGGCUUCCUCCCAUUAAAUCAUGAACUCCAAAAGAA